GUUUGUUACAGCCAUGAUAUAACAAGGAUGUUACAAGGUUGUCAACACAAGGUUGUAACAAUCUUGUUACAUCAAGCAUGUCACAGACUUGUCAGAACAACCUUGCAACAAGUCUGAUAAUUUCGACAAGGUUGUUACAAGUUGUCAACAAGUUGUUCCAAACCUGUUGACAACUUGUGAUAAGCAGUGCGAAUACAUCUUGUUAACAGCUUGUGAAGAGACUUGUAACAAACUUGUGCGUUUUUAAGUGUGUAUACGCCAACCCUAAAGCAUAGUUAAACUACUUUUUAACUGCAGUUAACACUAAUUACUUUUUAUACAAGAUGGUAGUUACAUUCAGUAUAUAGUUCGUAAUGGGCUAUUCCAUUUAAUAUCCGUCCCCCCCCC